CACAUGUCCUGAUAGAGGCUGAGAACGUCUGGUCGGGAGCUGGCCCCAGCCCGCCCUUUGCUUCCUCUUGGCUUGAGGACGUGGCAUAGCAUCUAUGAGCUUGGAGUGUCCCUUCUGCAGAAUGACACAGUUUGACAGCAGCUGCUACCAGAGGAGCCUUCCCUGCCCGGCCAUCAUGCAGGGGACAAGGCACGCUGUCCUUGUCCUGGGGCUUCGCUGAGGCCAGCAGGAAUUGGCUCACAUAAUUACAGAAGCCAAGAAGUCCCAUGAUCUGCCGUCUACAAGGUGAAGAACCUGGAAAGCCAGUGGUGUCGUUCAGGCCAAGCUGGAAGGCUGAGACCCAGGGGAGCGAUGGUGUAACUGCCCGUCUGCAGCUGAAGGCCUGAGAACCCGGCCGGGGGUGUGGGCUGCUGCUGUAAGUCCAGAGGCCGAUGAGCAGAGAGCCAGGAGCUCUGAUGUCGGAGGGCAGGAGAAGACGGGUGUCCCAGCUCGAGCAGAAAGAGCAAGUCCUCCCUUCCUCGCCUUCUUGUGCUGUUCAGGCCCUCACUGGAUAGAUGAUGCCACCCACUUUGGUGGGGGUGAUCUUUAGUCAGUCUACCAGUUCAAAUGCUAAUCUCUUCUGGAAACAGCCUCAUAGGCACACCCAGAAGCAAUAUUUUAACAGCUAUCAGGGCAUCCCUGGACCUGUCAAGGAGACAUGUGAGAUCAACCAUCACAAGGCGCAACCCGUUUCCUCCCACCAAAUCCACAACCCUCGAUUCUUCGCCCCUCCUCCUGGCCCGGCCCUCUCCCGUCUGACUGGGGUGAGCAGAGGGUGGCGCCUGGCGGGCCCAGGGCUCGACCCCUCCGUUAACACUGGCACUGGGAGUUUGGCCGCAGUUGUGCGCCGCUCUCUUUAACUUGUGGGGUAUAAGCACCUUCUCCCGUUCACGUGUGGAUCCUCACCAAUGCCUGAGCAACAGGAAAAGUCCCCUCCGACAUAGUAGUCACCAAGGUUUGCUGAGCCGCCAAGCAGCAAGCUGCUGCAGAAAGUACCAGGGGUAGUUGUGUAUUAUACCAGGAGAAGCUAACUUUUCUAAAAACUUUCACAAACCCUUUCUCUUUUGCUCUUCCUAAUAGCCUGGUAAGAUCAAGUAUAAGAAGUACCAUUAGUCCUUGGGUAGAGUUAAGCAGUUAAUUAGCUUGUCUGAGCUGGGGUUCCCCCAUCUGUAAUGUCAGGGAUAAGAGAAUCUACCUCACAGGGAUCUUGAGAGAAUUAAAUUUUAAGAGACGUGCAAAGUGCUAGCAUGGAGUUCUCAGAAUGCACCCUGGAGACAGCACCUGGGCAGGGCAGACCUGGGUAAGAGGCUGGACGGAGAAACAGGAGGGCAGGAAGGGAGGCGAGGUGGCAGAGCUUGGGCUCUGAGAUCAGGUGACAGGGACUCAGGUCCCACGCUGUCACUUGUUAGCUGUGUGAUCCUGGGCAAGUCACUUAAAUCCCUUCCUCAUUAGUUUCCACUUCUGCCAAGUGGGCAGAACAGGAGCACUUCCCUCAACCCCGCACCCGCUUCGGUUUACCUGUCAUUCAACGACAGCGCCCUCCACCGGUUGCUCCUGACGCUUCCUGAGAGUCAUCCCUGAAACCUCCUCUUCCUCAUGCGCCACAUCCCAUCUAUCAGCAGGUUUUAUCGAUUCCAUUUCUAAGCAUCUUUCAAACUGAUUGACUUUAGAGCAGGUGGGGUUUACCAAGACAGGGGACCGUUCCGGAGAUGCUGGAACCAAUGCACAGCCUGGGCAGCUAGAUGCAAUCCUCAUCUUCCUUUGGCUGGUUGAUGGAAAUCUGGACUCAGUGGUGGCCCACACUGAAACCCCAGAAAUUCCUUGUAAAACUAGUUUCAAAGAGAAUUUAUUAAGCAUGAAUCUUCCCUAAUUUUAUUCCCCAAGAGGGCACCACUUUCACCAGAACACCUCUGGGAGGGGAGUGCUAGCAUCUUUGGCAAGUGCUGAGAUGGCUGCUCUCUGAAAGCCAGAGAUGCAGGUCAGCGAUGGUGUGGUUUCAAGAUGGAGGAUGCGGAGGGGCAGAGGCCAGGCAACGGCACUUGACCACCAGAGGCACUAGGUGUGGUGACCAUUAGAGAAAGUUGGGCUGGAGUGAUGACAACCUGACCCACAGGGAUCUUGGUUACGGCUCUUUGACUUUAGAGGCCUUAGGACUGAAAUAGUUCAGUCUACUAAGAUCCUCUUGGACCUGGCUUGAGUCAUCAUGAGAGCUGCAGCCUCUUAACCACGUCCCUAGACCACAUCCCUAGAUGUGAUUCAAUUCACAG
rnacentral:lncRNA from 1 species